UACGGGGGGGGCAAGCGUUGUUCGGAAUUACUGGGCGUAAAGGGUUCGUAGGUGGCUUGCUAAGUCAGACGUGAAAUCCCUCAGCUUAACUGGGGAACUGCGUCUGAUACUGGCGAGCUUGAGUGCAGGAGAGGAACGCGGAAUUCCAGGUGUAGCGGUGAAAUGCGUAGAUAUCUGGAGGAACACCGGUGGCGAAGGCGGCGUUCUGGACUGCAACUGACACUGAGGAACGAAAGCCAGGGGAGCAAACGGG
rnacentral:rRNA from 1 species